CAGUAGCCGCGGUAAUACGUAGGGUGCGAGCGUUAAUCGGAAUUACUGGGCGUAAAGCGUGCGCAGGCGGUUGUGUAAGACAGGUGUGAAAUCCCCGGGCUUAACCUGGGAACUGCGCUUGUGACUGCACAGCUAGAGUAUGGCAGAGGGGGGUGGAAUUCCACGUGUAGCAGUGAAAUGCGUAGAGAUGUGGAGGAACACCGAUGGCGAAGGCAGCCCCCUGGGCCAAUACUGACGCUCAUGCACGAAAGCGUGGGGAGCAAACAGGAUUAGAUACCCGAGUAGUCCCUGUCUCUUAUAA
rnacentral:rRNA from 1 species